rnacentral:rRNA from 1 species
UACGUAGGGUGCGAGCGUUAAUCGGAAUUACUGGGCGUAAAGCGUGCGCAGGCGGUCUGUUAAGACAGAUGUGAAAUCCCCCGGGCUCAACCUGGGAACUGCAUUUGUGACUGCAUCGCUGGAGUGCGGCAGAGGGGGAUGGAAUUCCGCGUGUAGCAGUGAAAUGCGUAGAUAUGCGGAGGAACACCGAUGGCGAAGGCAAUCCCCUGGGCCUGCACUGACGCUCAUGCACGAAAGCGUGGGAGCAAACAGG